GCCGAUCUCGAAAACCUGUCCCAGUUCGGACUGGAGUCUGCAACCCGACUCCACGAAGUUGGAUUCGCUAGUAAUCGCGCAUCAGCCAUGGCGCGGUGAAUACGUUCCCGGGCCUUGUACACACCGCCCGUCAAGCCAUGGGAGCCGGGGGCGCCUGAAGUCCGGGACCGCGAGGACCGGCCUAGGGCGAAACUGGUGACUGGGGCUAAGUCGUAACAAGGUACC
rnacentral:rRNA from 1 species